rnacentral:lncRNA from 1 species
AAUCACGCACGCAUACGUUUCGGUCUUUCUUGGCGAAGAGGCCGCCCAAGUUGAACCCGCCACCGCUGCCGCCGUCGCCGCUGCUGCUGGCAGGUUUCUUGCCGCCGGACGUGGUGACGUUUCAGUCUUUCUUGGCGAAGAGGCCGCCCAAGUUGAACCCGCCACCGCUGCCGCCGUCGUCGCUGCUGCUGGCAGGUUUCUUGCCGCCGGACGUGGUGCCGCCCCGCGGCUUGGCGCGCGAGGCGGCGGCCGGCGCGCCGUCGACCUUGUUGAGGAGCGGGUCCGUCUCGACGAGCUGGUCCUUCUUGAAGAUGGAGCUGAAGAUGAAGUCGACCAGGCUCUUCUCCUCCUUGGCCGGCGCCGGGCUGCCCCUGGUGGCGGCCGGCACGGCCAGCACAGACCGCCGCGGCCGCCUCCUGGCCGCGGCCGCCGAAGACGAUGCCGGCGCCACGGCCGCCACGGUGCUGCCAAAGCCCACCGACGCCAUUGUAGCUAGCUUCUUGCAGCAACGAAUUGGGAAAGAAAUCGGAAAUGUAUGAUGCGCCGCAGCUCUGCGGCUUCUCCGAUCGAUUUCGU